rnacentral:rRNA from 1 species
UCAAGCGACUAAGUGCAUAUGGUGGAUGCCUUGGCGAUCACAGGCGAUGAAGGACGUAGUAGCCUGCGAAAAGCUGCGGGGAGCUGGCAAACAAGCAUUGAUCCGCAGAUAUCCGAAUGGGGAAACCCACCGCGCAAGCGGUAUCCCUGGCUGAAUACAUAGGCCAGUGGAGGCGAACCGGGUGAACUGAAACAUCUCAGUAGCUCGAGGAAAAGAAAUCAACCGAGAUUCCGAAAGUAGUGGCGAGCGAAAUCGGAAGAGCCUUUACGAUUUAGCAUUUUGCAUAGUCGAACGGAAUGGAAAGUCCGGCCGUAGCAGGUGAUAGCCCUGUAGACGAAAUGCAGAGUGUGGAACUAGGCGUAAGAGAAGUAGGGCGGGACACGUGAAAUCCUGUCUGAAGAUGGGGGGACCAUCCUCCAAGGCUAAAUACUCGUGAUCGACCGAUAGUGAACCAGUACCGUGAGGGAAAGGCGAAAAGAACCCCGGAAGGGGAGUGAAAUAGAUCCUGAAACCGUAUGCAUACAAACAGUCGGAGCCUCUUUAUGGGGUGACGGCGUACCUUUUGUAUAAUGGGUCAGCGACUUACAUUCAGUGGCGAGCUUAACCGAAUAGGGAAGGCGUAGCGAAAGCGAGUCCGAAUAGGGCGUCCAGUCGCUGGGUGUAGACCCGAAACCAGAUGAUCUACCCAUGGCCAGGUUGAAGGCACGGUAACACGUGCUGGAGGACCGAACCCACUAGUGUUGAAAAACUAGGGGAUGAGCUGUGGAUAGGGGUGAAAGGCUAAACAAAUCUGGAAAUAGCUGGUUCUCUCCGAAAACUAUUUAGGUAGUGCCUCAAGUAUUACUGCAGGGGGUAGAGCACUGUUAUGGCUAGGGGGUCAUGGCGACUUACCAAACCAUGGCAAACUCCGAAUACCUGCAAGUACAGCUUGGGAGACAGAGCACCGGGUGCUAACGUCCGGACUCAAGAGGGAAACAACCCAGACCGCCAGCUAAGGUCCCGAAUUAUCGCUAAGUGGGAAACGAAGUGGGAAGGCAUAGACAGUCAGGAGGUUGGCUUAGAAGCAGCCACCCUUUAAAGAAAGCGUAAUAGCUCACUGAUCGAGUCGUCCUGCGCGGAAGAUGUAACGGGGCUAAGCGAUAAACCGAAGCUGCGGGUGUGCACUUUUAGUGCGCGCGGUAGGAGAGCGUUCUGUAAGCCUGCGAAGGUGGCUUGUAAAGGCUGCUGGAGGUAUCAGAAGUGCGAAUGCUGACAUGAGUAGCGAUAAAGGGGGUGAAAAGCCCCCUCGCCGUAAGUCCAAGGUUUCCUGCGCAACGUUCAUCGGCGCAGGGUGAGUCGGCCCCUAAGGCGAGGCAGAGAUGCGUAGCUGAUGGGAAGCUGGUUAAUAUUCCAGCACCGUCGUACAGUGCGAUGGGGGGACGGAUCGCGGAAGGUCAUCAGGGUGUUGGACGUCCCUGUUGCUGCAUUGAAGAUGGCGCUUAGGCAAAUCCGGGCGCGAGAAUCAAGGGUGUGGCACGAGCGAGCAAGUCUCGCGAAGUGAUUGGAAGUGGUUCCAAGAAAAGCCUCUAAGCUUCAGCUGUACGAGACCGUACCGCAAACCGACACAGGUGGACGGGAUGAAUAUUCCAAGGCGCUUGAGAGAACUCAGGAGAAGGAACUCGGCAAAUUGAUACCGUAACUUCGGGAGAAGGUAUACCCUGGUAGUGUGAAGCGCCUGCGCGCUGAGCAUGAAGGGGUCGCAGAGAAUCGGUGGCUGCGACUGUUUAUUAAAAACACAGCACUCUGCAAAGACGAAAGUCGACGUAUAGGGUGUGACGCCUGCCCGGUGCCGGAAGGUUAAGUGAUGGGGUGCAAGCUCUUGAUCGAAGCCCCGGUAAACGGCGGCCGUAACUAUAACGGUCCUAAGGUAGCGAAAUUCCUUGUCGGGUAAGUUCCGACC